CCCAAACUGCAGGGGUGCCUGCGGCAGUCGCAGGCUGAGAUCACACCCUUAGAACCUGAUCCGGUUCGUACCGGCGAAGGGAGCUUCGUAUGACCUGUC
rfam:Gemmatimonadetes bacterium 13_2_20CM_2_66_5 13_2_20cm_2_scaffold_10480, whole genome shotgun sequence.